rnacentral:rRNA from 1 species
CCCGUGAUCCGGGUUGCGGACAGUGUCUGGUGGGUAGUUUGACUGGGGCGGUCUCCUCCUAAAGAGUAACGGAGGAGCACGAAGGUUGGCUAAUCCUGGUCGGACAUCAGGAGGUUAGUGCAAUGGCAUAAGCCAGCUUGACUGCGAGCGUGACGGCGCGAGCAGGUGCGAAAGCAGGUCAUAGUGAUCCGGUGGUUCUGAAUGGAAGGGCCAUCGCUCAACGGAUAAAAGGUACUCCGGGGAUAACAGGCUGAUACCGCCCAAGAGUUCAUAUCGACGGCGGUGUUUGGCACCUCGAUGUCGGCUCAUCACAUCCUGGGGCUGAAGUAGGUCCCAAGGGUAUGGCUGUUCGCCAUUUAAAGUGGUACGCGAGCUGGGUUUAGAACGUCGUGAGACAGUUCGGUCCCUAUCUGCCGUGGGCGCUGGAGAACUGAGGGGGGCUGCUCCUAGUACGAGAGGACCGGAGUGGACGCAUCACUGGUGUUCGGGUUGUCAUGCCAAUGGCACUGCCCGGUAGCUAAAUGCGGAAGAGAUAAGUGCUGAAAGCAUCUAAGCACGAAACUUGCCCCGAGA